rnacentral:rRNA from 1 species
UACGGAGGGGGCUAGCGUUGUUCGGAAUUACUGGGCGUAAAGCGCACGUAGGCGGCUUUGCAAGUUAGAGGUGAAAGCCCGGGGCUCAACUCCGGAAUUGCCUUUAAAACUGCAUCGCUAGAAUUGUGGAGAGGUAAGUGGAAUUCCGAGUGUAGAGGUGAAAUUCGUAGAUAUUCGGAAGAACACCAGUGGCGAAGGCGACUUACUGGUCCGGUUCUGACGCUGAGGUGCGAAAGCGUGGGGAGCAAACAGG